AUAUACAUAAAUACACUUUAAUUUGUCUGUGUAGGUCCAAAAUAUCUGGCUAUGACCUUUAACACUCUCAAACAGAUGCCAAAGAGCAAACUACCUGUCGUUACUAUAAUAUAGGAAGGCCCUAACACAUAUAGUCGCUGAAAUGCAAAAAAGCCGAAACUGACUAAAAUUUUUUAUUGCUUAAGAUGAUGUGAGGACUUAUAAUUUCGAUGAAAUGCAUCAUAAUCAAUCAAAAAGGAAUAUUGAAUUUUU